GGAAUUGCUAGUAAUGGCAGGUCAGCAUACUGCCGUGAAUACGUUCCCGGGCCUUGUACACACCGCCCGUCACACCAUGAGAGUUGGGAAUACCCGAAGCCUGUGAGCUAACUGUAAGGAGGCAGCAGUCGAAGGUAGAAUCAAUGAUUGGGGUGAAGUCGUAACAAGGUAAC
rnacentral:rRNA from 1 species